UCCCUGGUGGCUUAGAGGUUAAAGCGUCUGCCUCCACUGCGGGAGAUCCGGGUUCGAUCCCUGGGUCGGGAA
rnacentral:tRNA from 1 species